rnacentral:rRNA from 2 species
CCAAUAGCGUAUAUUAAAGUUGCUGCAGUUAAAAAGCUCGUAGUUGAAUUUCGGGACCAAUAUGUCGGUCGUGCCUCGGUACGUACUGGCAUCGUUGGUUUCUCCCUUCUGACGAACCAUGAUGUCAUUUAUUUGGUGUCGUGGGGAAUCAGGACUGUUACUUUGAAAAAAUUAGAGUGUUUAAAGCAGGCUCACGCUUG